UUCCGUAGGUGAACCUGCGGAAGGAUCAUUACCUUUAUGCAGAAGAAUUGUAGAGGUACUCCCUCGCUUUUCUUCCUGUAUACCACCCUUGUCUUUUGCGCACUCAUGUUUCCUCGGCAGGCCUGCCUGCCGGUUGGACUAAUACCAUAACCCUUUUUAAUUUUUAAUCAUGUCUGAAAUUAUUUAAUAAUUACAACUUUCAACAACGGAUCUCUUGGUUCUGGCAUCGAUGAAGAACGCAGCGAAAUGCGAUAAGUAGUGUGAAUUGCAGAAUUCAGUGAAUCAUCGAAUCUUUGAACGCACAUUGCGCCCCAUGGUAUUCCAUGGGGCAUGCCUGUUCGAGCGUCAUUUGUAUCUUCAAGCUCUGCUUGGUGUUGGGUGAUUGUCCUCUCUCUGUGACUGGACUCGCCUUAAAGUUAUUGGCAGCCAGUGUUUUGGUUUUGAAGCGCAGCACAAGUCGCGACUCAAGCCAGAAGCACCAGCGUCCACUAAGCCUUUAUCACUUUUGACCUCGGAUCAGGUAGGGAUACCCGCUGAAC
rnacentral:rRNA from 1 species